AGCAGAGUGGCGCAGCGGCAGCGUGCUGGGCCCAAAACCCAGAGGUCGAUGGAUUGAAGCAUCCCCUGCCA
rnacentral:tRNA from 1 species